rnacentral:lncRNA from 1 species
GCCCCGCGCUCCAGCGGCCGAGCGCGUGCGGCCGCCGAGCACAUGGGCCCGCGGGCCGGGCGGACUCGGGCGGCCUGGACCGGGAGGAACAGCGAGGGGCGGCGAGCGAGGCUGGGUCCCGGCACGCCCCCGGAGCCCCCCGAGUGGAUUUCCACGCGGAAAGGAUGGUGGCCGUCCGGGUGACCUGCGGAGACACGGCCGGAUCCACCUUCCAGCCUGAUCUUUUGAUCAGGGAGGAAUUCAAAAGAAUGCCCCCUUGUGAUGGCUGCGCUGUCAAGUACAUGGAGCUUCCCUCGAGGAUUUUCUGAGCCUUGUGGAUGUACUGUGAGCCUCGCUGCCUGGGGAGUAAGGCGGCGGAAGCAGUCUCUGGGGGGACCCAUGCCCGCAGCAUUUCUGGAUGCUAAAGGUGGCUUUAAGGAAGGCCCAGCUGAGUGCCUCGUGGAUUCCUGCAGCCUGGAUGCCUGCGGGGGACAGAAGACCGAUGCUUCCUGCCCUCAUCACCCAGGAAUGUCGGGAGGGGGCUCCGCCAAUUCCCUGAAGGGCUCCCAGUGAAACAAAUGGUGCCACCCUUGGUUGAUCAGCUGGGGCUGAGAGGAGAAGGCGAUGAUGGAAUGCGAGUGAAGCUCAACAUCUCAGCAUUUUCCAGGAGCAAUAAACCUUCCUGUGAUGGCUGUGGUGUAAUCUGAAAAAAAGCAGAUCCGUUCAGAACUCCAGAAGGACUUGAAAACUGUCCUGCCCCGAACGAAAGCUGGAAUAUCGUGGGCUUUGAUGAACCAAGGAAAAGUGCCUUCAUCAGGACGCAGCAGUAAGCCUGCUGACUACUUAAGCCCUGCCUAGGUUCCUAGGAAAUGGGCAGGAAAAGUGCCUGCCACCUGCUGCUUGCUGGUGUGCUGUUUUGGCAGCAGGAGCUGUGGGAACACACAGGGGCAGGAGAACAAACACAUUACACACGAGGACUUCCAUCCUCCAGCCAGCAAGGUGCCGACACCUCACACUUGACACCUGCUGAGCGCCCUACUGUGUGCCCCGCCCCCUGAACGAGGCAGCCUCGGAGCUUGGAUCCUAGUUGGAGAGACAGGCAAUUAGCAGGAUGGCAGAUCCACAUCCAGGAUCCUGGGAAGCACUUGACAGAGGGGAGGAGCCCAGCAAUAACACUGACCAAAGAGAAGUGAAUCCUUUUGCCCAGUGACUGGAAGACACAAGAAAGUGGUGGGGGGUGGGAGGCAGGGGGGAAGGAGCCUGGCACCUUGCCACGCUUCCCCUGUAAGGAGCACACACCCUCUCCCCCACCCCCUCCCCCCAAACACAUAAUACCUUUUAACUGGUGAUUUGGUCACUGCUGUGCUAUCUUCAUUGAAUGUGGUUUUGAGAGAAUGGUUGGUCUGGAAAUUUUAUUUUCAAUUAAACUUCCUUGUGGAACU